CCUACGGGUGGCUGCAGUGAGGAAUAUUGGUCAAUGGACGAGAGUCUGAACCAGCCAAGUAGCGUGAAGGAUGACUGCCCUAUGGGUUGUAAACUUCUUUUAUAUGGGAAUAAAAUGUUCCACGUGUGGGAUUUUGUAUGUACCAUAUGAAUAAGGAUCGGCUAACUCCGUGCCAGCAGCCGCGGUAAUACGGAGGAUCCGAGCGUUAUCCGGAUUUAUUGGGUUUAAAGGGAGCGUAGGUGGAUUGUUAAGUCAGUUGUGAAAGUUUGCGGCUCAACCGUAAAAUUGCAGUUGAAACUGGCAGUCUUGAGUACAGUAGAGGUGGGCGGAAUUCGUGGUGUAGCGGUGAAAUGCUUAGAUAUCACGUAGAACUCCGAUUGCGAAGGCAGUUCACUGGACUGUAACUGACACUGAGGCUCGAAAGUGUGGGUAUCAAACAGGAUUAGAUACCCUAGUAGUC
rnacentral:rRNA from 1 species